CCCCAACCCCCCCCCCCCACUAACCCCUCCACCCCACACCCAGGACCCCCCAACGCCCCCCUUUUACCCCCAUUAUCCCGCAGUGAAGGGCCGGACCAACGUGAAGAUCAACGAGAAAUACCUGAGUCCCGACACCUUCGGAACCGGCCGAUGCUCCGGGAUCCAAUCGGCACCAUCGUCCAAAGCUCUGUCCCCCAGCCGGUCCAAUUCCAGCCUCAGCCUCUACAGCAGCGCAUCGGCACCCAGCAGCCCCUUGGCCAGGAAGGUACGGCCGGGACCGGGACUGGGACCGGGACCGGGACCGAGAUUGGAACCGGGACCGGAACCGGGACCGGAACCGGGACCGCCCCCCCGAUCCGAUUCCAACCCUUUUCGGGACUGGAACCGGGACCGGGACUGGGACCGGGACUGGAACCGGGACCGGGACUGGGACCGGGACUGGAACCGGAACCGGGACCGCCCCACUCCCCCUGACCCAUGACCAGAACCGGGACCGAAACCGGGACCGCUCCGCUCCCCCCAACCCAGGACUGGGACCGCCCCGCUCCCCCCGCCCCCCCGACCCGAUUCCGACCCUUUUCGGGACCGGGACCGCCCCGCUCCCCUCGCCCCGGUUCCGACCCUUUUCGUUCCCGCAGUCGGUUCGGCGGCGGACCCGCUCCGGUGACCGCUGCCCUCCCACCCGCGGUUCGCUGCCGCCCGACGGCGCGGAGCUGCGCUUCAACGCGGCCGAGGAGGAACCCCACGCCACCCCACCGGAUCCACCCGACGGUUCCCCCCUGGAGCGCCGCAGUCCGUGCCGCUGACCCCCCGUUGCCGCCCGGCCUCGGCCGCCCCCCACUCAGGACCGUCCCCCCUGGGGCUGGAGGACGGACACGCCGCGGGACCCCCAGCUCCAAUGGCGGCUCUGACGGCAGCUCCACGCCGAUGGCUGCGCUGUGGGUCCGGGAGCACCCUAUGGAUAUAUGGAUAUGCAACCCCCCCCACACACCCCCCAACCUCCCACCCCAAGGCCACACGUGGCCGCCCGAUGUCCCCCGCUCCCUGUGCCGCUUCGGCGCUGCGCUCCCGGGAGCACUCGGCCCAAAAGACCCAAAUAAAGACCCCCAAAAGACCCAAAAUGCCAUUAAUUUGCCCCAAAACUCUGGGACCCCACGCUCCGUCCCUGCGCCCCGGGGGCGCUCAGCUUCAGCCGGGCCGGGCCGUCCAUCCGCUCCCGGUGGGUGCGGGGUUCCCCCUUGGGCUCACGGCCCCGAUUCUGGUGCUACCCCCCCCACAACCCCUCGCCUCUCGGCCGCCCCUCCCCAACCCCCCCAACCCCGGGUGGGGGUCCCUCUUUCCUCAUCCCGGUCAGGAGGUCCCUCUUUCCUUGUCCCAGGCAGGGGGUCCCUUUUUCAUCAUCCUGUGCAGGGGGUCCCCCUUUCCUCGUCCCGGGAGGGGGGUCCCUCAUUCCUUGUCCUGUGCAGGGGGUCCCUCUUUCCUCAUCCCGGGUGGGGGGUCCCUCAUUCCUCGUCCCGUGUAGGGGAUUCCUCUUUCCUCAUCCCAAGUGGGGGUCCCCCGCAUUCCUCGUCCCAGGUGGGGGAUCCCCCUUUCCUCGUCCUGGUGGGGGAUCCCUCUUUCCUCAUCCCAGGUGGGGUCCCUCUUUCCACGUCCCAAGUGGGGGUCCCCCCCUUUCCUCGUCCCAAGUGGGGGUCCCCCCCUUUCCUCGUCCCAGGUGGGGCUCCCCCUUUCCUCGUCCUGGUGGGGGGUCCCUCUUUCCUUGUCCCGAGAGGAGGGUCCCCCUUUCCUCGUGCCGGGUGGGGGGUCCCGGCUGCGCCCCGCAUGUUCCCCGCUCCCCACUAACCGGACGGCAUUAGAGCUGAAUGUAACCACGGCGGGGCGCAGCCCCACAAUAAACACUCGAGGGCUUUUUCCGUCCGCA
rnacentral:lncRNA from 1 species